rnacentral:rRNA from 1 species
GAUGAACGCUGGCGGCGUGCCUAAUACAUGCAAGUCGAACGAAGCGCUCUUGCGGAAUUCUUCGGAAGGAAGCAGUUGCGACUGAGUGGCGGACGGGUGAGUAACGCGUGGGCAACCUGCCCUGCACAGGGGGACAACAGCUGGAAACGGCUGCUAAUACCGCAUAAGCGCACGGGGCCGCAUGGCCCAGUGCGAAAAGCGCACACGGUGCAGGAUGGGCCCGCGUCUGAUUAGCUGGUUGGUGGGGCAACGGCCCACCAAGGCGACGAUCAGUAGCCGGCCUGAGAGGGCGGACGGCCACAUUGGGACUGAGACACGGCCCAAACUCCUACGGGAGGCAGCAGUAGGGAAUAUUGCACAAUGGGGGGAACCCUGAUGCAGCGACGCCGCGUGAGUGACGAAGUAUCUCGGUAUGUAAAGCUCUAUCAGCAGGGAAGAAGAUGACGGUACCUGCACAAGAAGCACCGGCUAAAUACGUGCCAGCAGCCGCGGUAAUACGUAUGGUGCAAGCGUUAUCCGGAUUUACUGGGCGUAAAGGGAGCGUAGGCGGACUUGGAAGUCCGAUGUGAAAGCCCGCGGCUCAACCGCGGAUUGGCAUUGGAAACUCCAAUUCUGGAGUAUCGGAGGGGCAGGCGGAAUUCCUGGUGUAGCGGUGAAAUGCGUAGAUAUCAGGAGGAACACCGGUGGCGAAGGCGGCCUGCUGGACGAUGACUGACGCUGAGGCUCGAAAGCGUGG